GCCAGCGUGGUGUAGUGGUUUGAGUAUUGGACUACAACUCUGGAGACCAGGGUUCAAAUCCCCACUUGAGCA